CCUACGGGUGGCAGCAGUGAGGAAUAUUGGUCAAUGGACGAGAGUCUGAACCAGCCAAGUAGCGUGAAGGAUGACUGCCCUAUGGGUUGUAAACUUCUUUUAUAUGGGAAUAAAACGUUCCACGUGUGGGAUUUUGUAUGUACCAUAUGAAUAAGGAUCGGCUAACUCCGUGCCAGCAGCCGCGGUAAUACGGAGGGUCCGAGCGUUAUCCGGAUUUAUUGGGUUUAAAGGGAGCGUAGGUGGAUUGUUAAGUCAGUUGUGAAAGUUUGCGGCUCAACCGUAAAAUUGCAGUUGAAACUGGCAGUCUUGAGUACAGUAGAGGUGGGCGGAAUUCGUGGUGUAGCGGUGAAAUGCUUAGAUAUCACGAAGAACUCCGAUUGCGAAGGCAGUUCACUGGACUGCAACUGACACUGAGGCUCGAAAGUGUGGGUAUCAAACAGGAUUAGAUACCCUAGUAGUC
rnacentral:rRNA from 1 species